rnacentral:rRNA from 1 species
AGGCGCCAUGCCUACACAUGCAGUCGUACGGAGAGUGGGGCAACUCACUCUCAGUGGCAAACGGGUGAGUAACGCGUGAAUAACCUGCCUUUGAGAAGGGGAUAACUGUCCGAAAGGAUAGCUAAUACCCUAUAUUGCCUUUUGUCACUAAGGCAAAAGGUGAAAGCGAGGCUGUCAAAGGCUUCGGCUCAAAGAGGGGUUCGCGUCCUAUCAGGUAGUUGGUGGGGUAAUGGCCUACCAAGCCAAUGACGGGUAGCUGGUCUUAAAGGAUGAUCAGCCACAGUGGGACUGAGACACGGCCCGCACCCCUACGGGGGGCAGCAGUGGGGAAUCGUGGGCAAUGGGCGCAAGCCUGACCCCGCAAUGCCGCGUGAGGGAAGAAGCCCCUCGGGGUGUAAACCUCUGUCAGAUGGGAAGAUGGGACUAGGGGCUAAUACCUCCUGGUCUUGACGGUACCAUCAGAAGAAGGGACGGCUAACUACGUGCCAACAGCCGCGGUAAU